UACGAAGGGGGCUAGCGUUGCUCGGAAUCACUGGGCGUAAAGCGCACGUAGGCGGACUCUUAAGUCGGUGGUGAAAUCCUGGAGCUCAACUCCAGAACUGCCUUCGAUACUGAGAGUCUUGAGUCCGGGAGAGGUGAGUGGAACUGCGAGUGUAGAGGUGAAAUUCGUAGAUAUUCGCAAGAACACCAGUGGCGAAGGCGACUUCCUGGCCUGUUCUUGACGCUGAGGCGCGAAAGCUAGGGGAGCAAACGGG
rnacentral:rRNA from 1 species